GGCCGGAUAAGGCGCUCGCGCCGCAUCCGGCACUGUUGCCAAACUCCAGUGCCGCAAUAAUGUCGGAUGCGAUACUUGCGCAUCUUAUCCGACC
rnacentral:ncRNA from 1 species